rnacentral:rRNA from 1 species
UUGUUGGUAAGGUAAAGGCUUACCAAGGCUUCGAUCAGUAGCUGGUCUGAGAGGACGGCCAGCCACACUGGGACUGAGACACGGCCCAGACUCCUACGGGAGGCAGCAGUGGGGAAUUUUGGACAAUGGGGGAAACCCUGAUCCAGCCAUGCCGCGUGAGUGAAGAAGGCCUUCGGGUUGUAAAGCUCUUUCAGCCGGAACGAAACGGUUACGGAUAAUACCCGUGACUACUGACGGUACCGGAAGAAGAAGCACSGGCUAACUACGUGCCAGCAGCCGCGGUAAUACGUAGGGUGCGAGCGUUAAUCGGAAUUACUGGGCGUAAAGCGUGCGCAGGUGGUUUUGUAAGUCAGAUGUGAAAGCCCCGGGCUCAACCUGGGAACUGCGUUUGAAACUACAAGACUAGAGUGUGGCAGAGGGGGGUGGAAUUCCGCGUGUAGCAGUGAAAUGCGUAGAGAUGUGGAGGAACACCGAUGGCGAAGGCAGCCCCCUGGGUUAACACUGACACUCAGGCACGAAAGCAUGGGGAGCAAACAGGAUUAGAUACCCUGGUAGUCCAUGCCCUAAACGAUGUCAACUAGUUGUCGGGCCUUUACGGGCUUGGUAACGUAGCUAACGCGUGAAGUUGACCGCCUGGGGAGUACGAUCGCAAGAUUAAAACUCAAAUGAAUUGACYGGGACCCGCACAAGCGGUGGAUUAUGUGGAUUAAUUCGAUGCAACGCGAAAAACCUUACCUACCCUUGACAUGUAUCGAAGCCCGCAGAAAAGCGGGGGUGCUCGAAAGGGAACGAUAACACAGGUGCUGCAUGGCUGUCGUCAGCUCGUGUCGUGAGAUGUUGGGUUAAGUCCCGCAACGAGCGCAACCCUUGUCAUUAAUUGCCAUCAUUUAGUUGGGCACUUUAAUGAGACUGCCGG